ACGGACGAAGGUUUCAUCAAUCGUGUUACAGAUAAACGUGUCGGUCGGUGGGACUUUCGUUCGUUU
ncrna:Acyrthosiphon pisum (pea aphid) microRNA api-mir-278 precursor